GAAAAUGUGUUGAUUGUCAAAUUUCCAAAAGAAGGCAUGUGUGGCGCUGACAAGGAAGGAAUUCUUGUUGGUCUAAGACGUGUCCAAUUUUUCGUAUUCAAAGAUAAGUGUAGAGGGAAGAAGAAAAACCCAAUGAAUGCAGAGGAAAAAGCUACUGAAUGUGCUCUAAAAUGAUGCUUUGUUCGUUUUCAGUCUUUACACCCUUGUAGUGAGGAUGAAGUUUAUAUUUUGUCUAGUGGAAAGAUUAGUGAAGCAAGAUCCUUAUCUAUGCACAUACACAUGGUCUUGACGAUAGAAAAAUACAUGGCCAAAUUUUCCUUGAUCCUAUCAAAGAUUAUAAAGCCUCAAGUUGGUAUAAAGCUUCAAGUUGGAUUUUCUCGGCUGCUGGUAGAAAAUGCUGUAAUGAAAGAUGGAGUUCUUAUACUAGGGGUUGAUAUUGGUAGGCUUUCAACUCCUAUAUAUGAACCUACAGAAUUUACAGCUAAGUAUUUCAACAUAAACAUUAUGAACAAGGUGGCUAAGAGAAACCAAGAAGAUGAGAUGAAUGAGACAUAUGCUACCUUGCACAACUUGCUUAAUCCAAGGGUGGUGAAGAGAAUGAGGUAGCUACUAACAACAUACAAAGAAGGCAUUCCGACUUUGAACCUUGAGGACAAUGUCAAUUUAAGGGGAAGGGAUGUCAUGGCCCAUUUCAUUUAUCUUUUAUUUUAUCGAAUUGGGCUUGUAUUAUUAGUGGGCUAACCCAAAGCCCUUUACUCUUAGGGUUGUUCUAUAUAUGAUUUUGUUGGAAGACAAUGAAGGGGGAAUUGAGUCGUGUCCUGCUGCUUCUAACUCUCCUAUGUUCUUCUCCACUUCUUCUAGUUUCUACUUCUUCUUGUCUAUUCCUCCUGUUCUUCUUCUUUGGAAUUCUUUCUCUUCUCUUACUUUUGUAAGUCUUCCAUCUUCUUUACCUCUAUCAUUGCUGAAUUUGCUUCUCUUUUUUCUCCUGUGAUUCUGACCUCCACUUCCCCUAUUCCUUUUUUCUUCUUCAUGGUUAGGUGUCGCAAUUAC
rnacentral:lncRNA from 1 species